rnacentral:rRNA from 1 species
CCCACAAUAAACCGACCGUGACGAAUCAAUAAUGCUAAGUGUUUGAAGUUGGCUAGCAAUAGCUGAUGGAGCGCACGACCCAAGUUGGUAGUAGUCAAGCAAUGGAGAGACGCAGGAAGGUAGUCCAACCCAGGCGAUGGUUGACCUGGGGUAAGAGUGUAGGAGGUUCUGUAGGAAAAUCCGCAGAACAAUCUCUAAGACUUGAUGCCGAGCCGUAAGGCGAAGUGGAUGAUCCUAUGCUGCCAAGAAAAUCUUCUAGCGAGGUUUAUAGUGGCCCGUACCCGAAACCGACACAGGUGGUCAGGUAGAGAAUACCAAGGUGAUCGAGAGAAUCGUGGUGAAGGAACUCGGCAAAAUACCCCCGUAACUUCGGGAGAAGGGGGGCUAAUUUUUGUGUAGAGGUUUACCUUCGAAGCAUAAGUUAGACGCAGAGAAUAGGCUCAAGCGACUGUUUACCAAAAACACAGGUCCGUGCGAAGUUGCAAAACGAUGUAUACGGACUGACGCCUGCCCGGUGCUGGAAGGUUAAGGGGACUGGUUAGCUCUUCGGAGCGAAGCCGAGAACUUAAGCCCCAGUAAACGGCGGUGGUAACUAUAACCAUCCUAAGGUAGCGAAAUUCCUUGUCGGGUAAGUUCCGACCUGCACGAAUGGCGUAACGACUUGAGCGCUGUCUCCACCAUGAACUCGGCGAAAUUGCAGUACGAGUAAAGAUGCUCGUUACGCGCGGAAAGACGGAAAGACCCCGGGACCUUUACUAUAUCUUGAUAUUGGUACUCGGAACGUUCUGUGUAGCAUAGGUGGGAGACUUUGAAGCGGCACGCCAGUGUUCGUGGAGUCAAAAAUUGAAAUACCACUCUGAACGUUUUGAGUUUCUAACCUCGGCCCAUUAUCUGGGUCAGGGACAGUGUCUGGUGGGUAGUUUAACUGGGGCGGUUGCCUCCCAAAAAGUAACGGAGGCGCUCAAAGGUUCCCUCAACCUGGUUGGUAAUCAGGUGUCGAGUGUAAGUGCACAAGGGAGCUUAACUGUGAGACAGACAUGUCAAGCAGGUGCGAAAGCAGGAACUAGUGAUCCGGCGGUGGCUUGUGGAAGCGCCGUCGCUCAACGGAUAAAAGGUACCCCGGGGAUAACAGGCUGAUCUUGCCCAAGAGUCCAUAUCGACGGCAAGGUUUGGCACCUCGAUGUCGGCUCGUCUCAUCCUGGGGCUGGAGUAGGUCCCAAGGGUUGGGCUGUUCGCCCAUUAAAGAGGCACGCGAGCUGGGUUCAGAACGUCGUGAGACAGUUCGGUCCCUAUCUUCCGUGCGCGAAGGAAACUUGAGAAGGGCUGUCCCUAGUACGAGAGGACCGGGACGGACGAACCUCUUGUGUGUCGGUUGUUUCGCCAGAAGCACGGCCGAUUAGCAACGUUCGGAAGGGAUAACCGCUGAAAGCAUCUAAGCGGGAAGCUCGCUUCAAGAUUAGGUUUCCCACUGGUUUACCAGGUAAGACCCCCAAGAGACUAUUGGGUUGAUAGGCCGGAAGUGGAAGAGGCGCAAGCCUUGCAGCUGACCGGUACUAAUAGGUCGAGGAUUUAACUAC